rnacentral:rRNA from 1 species
UACGUAGGGGGGCGAGCGUUGUCCGGAUUUAUUGGGCGUAAAGAGCGUGUAGGCGGCCAGGUAGGUCUGCUGUGAAAACUCGAGGCUCAACCUCGAGACGUCGGCGGAAACCAUCUGGCUAGAGUCCGGAAGAGGAGAGUGGAAUUCCUGGUGUAGCGGUGAAAUGCGCAGAUAUCAGGAGGAACACCGGUGGCGAAGGCGGGUCUCUGGGCCGAUACUGACGCUGAGGAGCGAAAGCGUGGGGAGCGAACAGG